AACGAACGCUGGCGGCAGGCCUAACACAUGCAAGUCGAGCGAGAUCUUCGGGUCUAGCGGCGGACGGGUGAGUAACGCGUGGGAAUAUGCCUCUUGGUACGGAAUAGCCUCGGGAGACUGGGAGUAAUACCGUAUGUGCCCUUUGGGGGAAAGAUCUAUCGCCAAGAGAUUAGGCCGCGUUGGAUUAGGUAGUUGGUGGGGUAAUGGCCGACCAAGCCGAGGAUGCAUAGCUGGUUGGAUAGGAUGAUAAGCCACGCUGGGACUGAGACACGGCCCAGACUCCGACGGGAGGCAGCGGUGGGGAAUAUUAGAGGAUGGGGGCAACUCUGAUAUAGCCAUGCCGCGUGAGUGAUGAAGGCCGUAGGGUUGUAAAGCUCUUUCAGAUGGGAAGAUAAUGACGGUACCAGCAGAAGAAGCCCCGGCUAACUCCGUG
rnacentral:rRNA from 1 species